rnacentral:snRNA from 1 species
AGCUUUGCACAGUGGCAGUAUUGUAGCCAAUGAGGUUUAUCCGAGGAGGGAUUAUUGCUAAUUGAAAACUUUUCCCAAUACCCCGCCAUGACGACUUGAAAUAUAGUCAGCAUUGGCACUUUUUGACAGUCUCUAUGGAGA